ensembl:lncRNA
AAAUUGUAGGAGAAGCAUCUGAGACAACUCUGAAAGAGCACAUUUUUCUUGGGCCUUCCAUUAUCUUUAUGAAGUUUGGAUGAGCUUUAAGUCAAAACUUUUAUCUCAUGCAGUCUGUUUCCCAAAGCAUGUUGACUCCACAGGUCCCUAUUUACUUUAUUGAGGGGUGAAGAUGACCCCAGGUCAAACCCACCCAAACAUCUGAACUUAGAUUAGAACGACUGAUACAGCCGCACUUUAUGGGACGUCCUGAGAACACUUUCCCAACUCUGCCCCCACCUUACAAAUCACUGUCUCCACUCAAGCAGCAGAAAUAAGGCUCGGCUUCCUGUGCUGCCGUCCCAGAGGCCUUUCUCCUGAAACAAAUGUUUCCCCCUCAAAAUAGCAUUUGUUUGUAUCGGGUGUCUGAUGGAAGAAGAUGUUCAUACGGUCUCUUCUCAGAACUCAUUACUGUGAACAACAUCACCUGCACCACAAAAAGAGAUGUCCAAACUGAAGGCAUCUCCGCUCGGCAAGUGUCCUCCACCCAAAGUGCCCUGCUUGCUAUUAUGUGUGUAACCCCGUCCAGCUGUCUUGCAUUCACACAACCCAAACUGGACGUCUCAGCACGAAUAGCAUAGGCCCAUGACGUUUAACAGCGGAGAGGGAAAGAGACAUACGGAACAGUUUCAGAGCUCUGAUGAACAGAGAAAUAUAAAAGCUGCUGAGAUUUAUGGGCUGAAGAACGCCAGAGCAGCUUCUGAUGGGAGCAGCCUGCCCGUGACUUCUCAGAUCUCGGGAAGUUCUGGGUGGAUGAUCAAUUGCAAAGUUUGAAAUGGCUAAACAGAAACUGAUGGUUGGAGCGAUUGAAAUCGUCCCUUUUCUUGGUGUCGCAGGACUCUAAGCAUGUAAGGUAUGUUCUGGCAAAACACAGAUCCUGUCUUCUAUCUCUGGUAGACCUGUCCAGACCUUUUCCCACACUUGUUUUUUUUUGUCUUUCUAUCCCUAGUUCCUUUUGUUGGGAAGUGUGCCAGCUUGGCCAGUGUAGUGCCAGAAAGACUUCACUGAAGAGAGAAUAAGGAACGUUCACCCAUAUAUACAUGGAGGAGAAAAAGAAUAACUUGUAAUAAUAAUAAAAAUGAUAAUAGCAAUUAUGUGGUUAUUAAA